rnacentral:miRNA from 1 species
UUUGUGACGUUGCAGCU